GUGGGGAAUAUUGGACAAUGGGCGAAAGCCUGAUCCAGCCAUGCCGCGUGUGUGAAGAAGGUCUUCGGAUUGUAAAGCACUUUAAGUUGGGAGGAAGGGCAGUAAGUUAAUACCUUGCUGUUUUGACGUUACCGACAGAAUAAGCACCGGCUAACUUCGUGCCAGCAGCCGCGGUAAUACGAAGGGUGCAAGCGUUAAUCGGAAUUACUGGGCGUAAAGCGCGCGUAGGUGGUUUUGUAAGUUGGAGGUGAAAUCCCCGGGCUCAACCUGGGAACUGCCUCCAAAACUGCAUGACUAGAGUACGGUAGAGGGUAGUGGAAUUUCCUGUGUAGCGGUGAAAUGCGUAGAUAUAGGAAGGAACACCAGUGGCGAAGGCGGCUACCUGGACUGAUACUGACACUGAGGUGCGAAAGCGUGGGGAGCAAACAGGAUUAGAAACCCCAGUAGUCC
rnacentral:rRNA from 1 species